AUGUGGAAAAUUAUUCACGUUAAGCCUGUCAUGUCCACCUAUAGAAUCAAAGCAGCUGCUGAAUAUUCAAAGGAUAGUAAAUGGUUUCAGAUAGGAGUAUUUUAUGAGAGUUCAAGGAGAGAGAACCAAUGUAUGUUGAGUGUCUGUUAUGGGUUAGAGAAUGCAUGCUUCACAUGUGUUUCUACUCCAGCCAACAACUUACAGAGGGUGAUCAAGGCUCUGACUGUCUCUCCCGUUCCACAGAUCAUCUUUCGUAAGAUCAGUGAUGUGAAGAAAGAGGAGGAGGAGCGCCUCCGGCAGAAGAAUGAGGUGACCCUCAGCAUCCCUGUGGACCACCCGGUCAGAAAGCUCUUCCAGAAGUUCAAGCAGCAGAAGGAGCUGCGGAAUCAGGGCUCAACACAGGGUGACCCCGAGAGGAACCAACUCCAGGUAGAGAGCCGCUCCUUACAGAAUGGAGCCUCCAUCACUGGCACCAGUGUGGUGACUGUGUCACAAAUUACUCCCAUUCAGACAUCUCUGGCCUACGUGAAAACCAGCGAAUCCCUUAAGCAGAACAACCGCGAUGCCAUGGAACUCAAGCCCAACGGCGGUGCUGACCAAAAAUGUCUCAAAGUCAACAGCCCAAUAAGAAUGAAGAAUGGAAAUGGAAAAGGGUGGCUGCGACUCAAAAAUAAUAUGGGAGCCCAUGAGGAGAAAAAGGAAGACUGGAAUAAUGUCACUAAAGCUGAGUCAAUGGGGCUAUUGUCUGAGGAUCCCAAGAGCAGUGAUUCAGAGAACAGUGUGACCAAAAACCCACUAAGGAAAACAGAUUCUUGUGACAGUGGAAUUACAAAAAGUGACCUUCGUUUGGAUAAGGCUGGGGAGGCCCGAAGUCCGCUGGAGCACAGUCCCAUCCAGGCUGAUGCCAAGCACCCGUUUUAUCCCAUCCCGGAGCAGGCCUUACAGACCACACUGCAGGAAGUCAAACACGAACUCAAAGAGGACAUCCAGCUGCUCAGCUGCAGAAUGACUGCCCUAGAAAAGCAGGUGGCAGAAAUUUUAAAAAUACUGUCAGAGAAAAGCAUACCCCAGGCCUCGUCUCCCAAAUCCCAAAUGCCACUCCAAGUACCUCCCCAGAUACCAUGUCAGGAUAUUUUUAGUGUUUCAAGGCCUGAAUCACCUGAAUCUGACAAAGAUGAAAUCCACUUUUAAUAUAUAUACAUAUAUAUUUGUUAAUAUAUUAAAACAGUAUAUACAUAUGUGUGUAUAUACAGUAUAUACAUAUAUAUAUUUUCACUUGCUUUCAAGAUGAUGACCACACAUGGAUUUUGAUAUGUAAAUAUUGCAUGUCCAGCUGGAUUCUGGCCUGCCAAAGAAGAUGAUGAUUAAAAACAUAGAUAUUGCUUGUAUAUUAUGCAGUUGACUGCAUGCACAAUUUACAUUUAUUUAUAAUCUCUAUUCUAUAAUAAAAGAGUAUGAUUUUUGUUACCCAAGGCAAUGUAAUAUUUGAAGAAUCAGGGUCCAACCUGCCAAUGUUGCCAUGACAAAUUUGAUCUCAGGCUGAGUAUGUAUAUCGUGCUAUCAUUUUCUCACUGUUCUGUUAAGUUAAAAUUAUAGAUUAAUGCCAAGGAAGAGUUCAGUCUUUUCAACUAUUAGUACCAUGUUAUGAUCUCUUUCCCUAGGAUUUUUCUGUAACUUAGUGUUAGGUUCUUUUCCCCUACAGGCGGUGUUUGCUCCAUUUAAAUGACUGUUUUGUUGCUAAGUCAGAUAACAGCGUGGGGUAUUGAAAACUUAUUGCUAUGGGUUUUGUGCAUGAAUUACAUUUUUGAUCAACUAUACCUCUCCUUUUUUAACAUUAUACUUAGAUAGUAAUCAUUAGCUCUUAUGUAAGGAAAUCCCUACUCCCUCCUUCUUGGAGAACAGCUGCCAUCUUGUAGGCUGACAUUAUCGACACCAUAAAUACUAAACUAUUAAUAUAGUGUACAUUAUUAUAGAAACACUGCACCACAGGGUAUAAGGCCUUUUGACAAUUCACGUAAGAGAUGCUGAAUUUCCAAAGCUUAUGAAUGCUCUAAAUUUGUAUUUCCAAAACAUGUUCAAGAGUGACAUUGAAAGGCUUCUUAGCAGAGAAAUAUACAAAAAAAAAAAGCAUUUAAGUAAUCAUAUCAAAAUACUAACUAUUAUGAUAUAAAAUAAAAAAGAGUGUAAACAGAUAAAUUUUUGUGGCAUGUCUGUAACUUAGAAAGAAUGAAACACUGGUACGGAUUGUUGACACAUGAAUCUUAGUGUUUGUAGUGAUAACACAUGAAAUGUGGUAAAACAAACAAACAAACCAAGAAGUAGACAUUAAGUUGCUCGACUCAGAUAACUGCUUUUCUAUCAUUUUAUUCUGGUUAUAAUUUUUAAAAGCUUUUUGCACACGGUUCUACUGCUGGACUUCUGCUAAGUUGAUUCAAUAAACUAUUGUGGCUCAGGCAGAUCCAUUUAUGAAAGGGGGAUACUAGAGACUGAAUUUUAGUCUUUUGAAUUCAAAUCCUCUUUGUAGAAAGUGCCUAUUGUCAAGUUUUUUUAAAAAAGUCACAAAGAGUUGUCCUGUAUAUAGCUAGUCCCUUAAAUGAUAUGGAUUGAGAAUAAAAUACACAUUCACUUGUAAGAACCCAGGAGAACUUAUUUCUUUUGACUAAACUAUAUUUUAGGAAGUUGUUCAGGGAAGCGUACUUUUCAGUCAGCGCAUGCACAGCAUUUAAUAUGGGGAGCAGGGGAGUUAGUGUUUGCAUGAAGUUGAAAAUAUGUGUGAGUAGUUUAUAUAUUACUGGACCUUCUGUACAUAUAUGUUAACAAUAUGCAAAAAUGAUGGCAAAAUCGAAGGAGAUAUUUUGGUCUAUUAUACCUAUUUGUAUGAGCUUUUCUAUCUCCCAGUAUCCCCAACCAAAGCCACUAGAACUGAAAGACACGUUAUCACAUUCAGACUUGAGAAGUGCAAAACAGUGAUUUAUAAAAACAGUUGCUAUUUUAGAAUUUCUACUGAACUUCACAUGCCCACAAGAUGUGCCUCUUUAAUCUAGGAGUCUCAAAACAUACGUUAUGUGCCGUGGGCUCCGUUUUCCUUUCUUUGUGCACAUAACUUCCAUUAGCCAUAAUGGAAGUUUUCAGGGGAGCACGUCUCCAUGUAAUGCUACAAUAUCUACCUACCACAAACACAAGAAAAUGAAAUAAUUAUGGAGUAAGGAAUCAGCCUUGAAAUUGGAAUUUUGUUGCUUUCAUGGUGAGGAUGAUGUCUUUUUCUUGACCUCUGACAUUUAUUGAAUUUCAGGAUGUUUUUCUAUCUGUUUAAGUCAAGUUUGGCUUAAGGUUUUAAAGGUGAAUGUGUGGUUAAAAUAAAAAUCUGAGUACAGAAGUUGUUAGUUUAACUUUAGCCAGUGCUUCAAAAAUAACUGUUGGUAUAAAACUGUAAAAGAAUGACUGUGAACAACAUGAUGAUUUGAAGUUCUAAUUCAUGCCUUUGCAUAUUAGUGGUGCAAAUAUUUACCGUGUUCUGACAUUGACAUAGAGUUUCACCUAAUCGACCUACAAUAUUAUUGUUUAUAUAUGUGAGAAACAUAAUGGUUUUGAAUUACUCCGAGUUUUCCAGAAGGAGGGAAAGUAUCAAUUAUUUAUUUAUGGCACAGUUAUCAUAGAGUUUUUUCAGCCAUCUCUGUUCUCUGUGUGCAUGAUAUGAAGAGGUGCUGAAUGCACCCCGCUGUUUUCAGCAGGAAUGCGUGUUUUCAGCAAACAUUGUAUAUAGAGUAGUCUUUUAGGUUCCCAGAUUCCACAAAUCUUAGCAGUUGAAUUUACUCAGAUUUGAAUGAAGGGUGAACACUUGCUUUAAUACAUGCAAUAAUGAUACAAUCAUGUUCUAUGUUGCCUCAGCUAGCACAUAGACAGUAGAUGCUCUUUUGGGGACCAGAUAACUGCAUGUUUUAUUCCUACACUGUAUAGAUGCUCUUGGUGCAUCCAGAAUAAAAUUUUUAAUAUUGUAUUUCUAAAUAAUGUAUUAAUAGGAGUAAAUGGAUAUGUAUUUGAAAUCCAAACAUUUUCCAAAGCAAUUUACGCACCUUCAAUAUUUUUCUAUGAUGUUAUUAAUAGGUAAGAUCAGAUGCUGUAUCCUCGACAGGUGGUUGUAACAUAAUAGCAAAAGUCAAAUUAGAAUGGAAAUGUGAGUGAUGUCUCAUAAUGGCAAGUUUUAUCAGUCUGCAUCAGGAUAUUGUUGCACUAAAUGUGAUCUAGCAGAUGGAAGAGAUUAUGAUAAAAGGCAAAUGGGCACACAAAAGCCAGAUGACAAUACCAAAGCUACAUGAAUGGUACUGAAAAUGGUUCAGGCACAGUGGUUGAAAUGAAUGAAGUGGUUGAAUACAGGCCCAUGCUUCAUUGUUAAAAUGGAAAAUUUUUAUGACGCUAGUUGCAUCUCGCAUUAAGUAUAGGACUAAAAAUGCCCUAAGUAUUUUCUUACAAACAACUUUAUGCAUAUCAAAGAAAAAAUGGAAAAUUUGGGGUUUGAAAUUGCUCUAGAAGAAAUGUGUACUUCUAUUGUACUCAACACUUUAAUAGGAAAAUUAGUUGUGACUGUUAACUGAAGUACCGUUAUGAAAAUUAACCUUAUUGGAACCCAGAUGAAAAUCACAUUUUCCCUUCUGUUUAAGGAGAUUUUGUUCACCCUCUGAGAUCUGGUCCAUUUGAUGUCUUAUUUUAAAUAAUUAAAGUCAUUUGGAAUUUUUUUUUAAUAUUAGCCUUCAGAACAGUGACUGUUUUGAAGUGUGCAGUGGCAGAUAUUUGUGAAAUUAUUCAUCAUAUUCCUAAUGAAUUCCACUAUCUUGUAUAAUUUUCAUCGUUUAAGCAAUUUUCUCAGAGUUUGUUUUCCAAAAUUUCAUGUAGGUAAUGAGAACAUUUAUCUAGAAUGUGCAUAUCAUACAUGGAUAACUUUCAAAUAUGAAUAUUUUAUAGUCAUGUGAAUGUUGUGCUAUAAUUUUUUCUAUUAGGUGUAAAAGUAUUUCUCUUCUUGUCUUAAUGGAAAGGGGGAAAAGACAAAAACAAUCUUUUGGAAAACACCUUAAGAUUAGUAUCUGAGCUUUGUCUUGGAUUCUGAAUUUAGCUUUACCACAAACUAGAAGUGUAAUUAUGGGCAAGUUAACCUUUUCUGGUGUACCAAAUGCUACCAUUCCCCCGGCAAUAAAUAAGAAAACAAAGAUAACAGCUGUUGCCUUCUUAUAUCAACACACUAUUAGGUAAUGCAAAAAUUAUCUUUCUUGCAGGUGAAAAUUACAUUAUGACAAAUGAUCACUUUUUCAUUCUUUCAUAGAAGAGUAUCCAUGAUGUACUCUCUAUCAAAAUAUUCUUCUAGAUUUUAGAAGAGAUUUCAGGGAUUGAUGGUGAUGUGAUUUUUAUCUAAAUAUUCUUUUAGGUUUUAGAAGAGAUUUAUCUGGUCAGAGGUUGAUGGAGGGAGGCAUAGUUUGCUAAAUAAUUAUUAGUGGCAGGUCAGCAUAAAAGUUGAUACUUCUCUGGGAAUUUAGAACUACGAAUCAAAUAAACGUGGAGAGAAUGAAGCUCCGUUGAUGGAAGAGAGAACGAAGAGAAAGAUAGGUAAAUUUUAAGAUUUUUCUUAAUUCUACUUAAUCAUACUGCUUGGCGGACAUUCUCAAUUUUGUGAAAAAAGUAUGCAUAUUGAUAAGUGGCCAAGGUAUAGAGUAGUUCAUCAAUAUAUCUAUGUGACAAAACUAAAUGUGUAACCCUUAAAUUUAUACAAAUAAAAACUAGAGUAGUUCAUCCUUCAACUUUUUAUAUUAAAAUAAUCAUGAACUGUUCAAGAUACAUGAUUUCACAUGGGCAGACAUUCUUAUAACAAAAUUCUCAACUAUGUGCUAUGUAUUAUAAGUUUUGGUCUGUAUUCUGACGAGAUUUUCUAUCACUUCAUGUUUAGGAUAAGACCCAUGUGUUUGCAUUCUUUAUGAGGGUCAGGGCCACUGAGGAUUUGGACUGGGAACUAGGAAGAUGAUGAAGGCGAGGGUUGAGAAAAGACUGAGUAGAAUCUAUCUGCUUCUUUACUCUUAGACUUAGAAGUUAAAUAAGUUAACUAAGCUUAUAUUUACCAAGUGUUCACUAUGAUAAGCAUUUUAUUUAGGUUAUCAAAUUUAAUUCUUGCAACAACCCCAUGAAGGUAUAAGUUAAGGAACUUGUCCGGGAUAGCAUACCUGUUACAUGGUAAAGUUGAGUUUCUAACACAUGCAGUCAGACCUUAGGGAGAAAACUUUAUUUUGUAGAAUACUGACGUUACAAGAACUAUCUACUUCAACCAUCUGGUCUAAGUUUUUCCAGACACAAACUUUUAAAGAUUUCUUAAAAUAAUUCUUAAAAAUUGCACUCUAUAAUGUGAAUGUAAAUGUUUAUUUUUUCUUGGUAGGUCAGAGUCAAUGACAGAGGUUGAAAUCAUACUGUCUUAAGCAAAAGGUGCCCUGUCCUAACAGUGGAAUUUUCAUUUACUUCUCCCAAUAGUUGAAAGACAUCAGCCAAAGUAAACUGUCAAAUGUAGUUAUAAAUAAGAAGCAUGUUUCACAUACAGUCACUGGUAUCAACAUUUCCAGUUGAAUUUUAACCUAAAGAGAUAAUGCAUAAUAAUUAAGGAAAGCAAGAGUCAUUCAGGAUUUUUUCUAUUUCUUUUUAUUUUUAAUAGUGGGAUUUGGAUGAGACUCUGCAAUUUAUUUUUAAAAUUUAUUUUUUGACUCAUUGGGUUUUAAGUAGAUUAUUCAGAUAUUUUUAUUGAUUGCACUGAUGUUGGCUUCUUGGCCAAGCCACCAUUAAAUGCAUUAUCCAAAUUAACUAUCUCUGUUUAGAAUGGCAACUUAUAUCCUUAUAUCCAAAAUUAAUGAGUUCCUAGUAUGUGUAUUUACUUCAGAGAGUUUCAAUAAUUUUCUCUAAUGAAAAAAUGUUAAUUUUCUGAAUGUGAUUUAUUUGUUCUACACUUUGAGAUUUUGAAAGCAAGUGUCUUGAGAAAAGGAGAAAAAACCAAGAUAUUACAACACUGCAUGCUGGAAUCUUCAGCCCAAACCAUCUUGUUUUCACUUGGCUAAUAACUGAGCCAGAGGUAAUCAUAGAAAGGAAUAAUCCUACUUUUAAAAUAAUGACUGUGAAGGACCCCACUGACACUAUCCAAAGCUUUUUAUAGUCAGCUCACUUCCAUCCUGGCUUUUACAUUAUCACUGCAUGAUUAUUUAAAUGAAGUCAUGACUUGUACUACCUGUAAAGGCACUUGGUCAAAGAACAGUAAACCAAAAAGUGCAGCUUAUGGCCAGAGUUAUAACUGAGGAAAAGGGAGAGUGGGGAAGGGAUAGCAGUUGCUUCCUUUUAAUGAGUUUUCUGUGUGUGGUGCCUUUUAAAUAGCUUUUGUUUAUUUGUUUUUAAGAUGACACAGUGUCAUUAAGGUUUUAACAAAACCUUUGGAAGCAGUUUGAAAGCUUGUCAAAAGUUGGGGCCUUCUUUAGAAAUAAGUGCUCUCCCACCAACCAGUGAGUUUAGAACCUCUGGUUCUGGCCUACAAACCCAAGUUCCCUAAGCACUUGACUGGUUGGGCUGCAUUUUAAUGGGGGGAAAACAAAAAGAUCUGAUCACUCUCUCUCAUUCAUGCAGAAUCACUGAUUGUUGAAUGACCAAAGCAUUCAAAGCCAAAAUAUUCACAUUGAUGCUUCAAUAAACCAGACUGAGUAUCCAUAAUAACUAAUUUAAGUAAUUGUAUCCCCAUUCUGUGCUAAAUCAUAUUUCAUAAUAUAAAAUGUAACCACUUCCCUCUAUGGUCAGACUCUCCAUUGAGUUAGAGAAAUUGGACUUUGGCAAAAAGCAACAUAAAGAUUAUUGUUGUUCCUAGAACCAUUGUUGUCAUGGACCCCUCAUUUGCUCCUCAACUUUUUCAAUCAAAUUACAGCGGGAAAGGUUCCUGAUGAGACCAAGACUGCAAACAGGAAGAAUACGUAGCUAGUAAACUAUGCAAAAUCACAGCAAAGAUUCAUUUUUAAUUCCAUGUUACAGUGUUUGAUAGUCCUAAGUAUUUAAUAUUGGUAUAUUAUGUCACAGCCAUGAACUGUCAACUUACACAAAAUCCAAAUGCACUUUUAUUUAAAAUCAAGAUUAGCCUAUUUCAUUUUUAGAAAAAACAGUGGUCAGGAUUCCUUUUUUGACCUCUGAGGGGAUGUUUUCACAUUGCUCUUCUUAUGACCCUUUAUCAGAGAGGGAAUAAGUAUAGUUUACAUCUCCUUAGGGUUGACUGCACCAGCAUCUUCCAUCAAGCAGUCGCCUUCCACCUUAUAACCUGUUCACAGUUAAUAAAGCAAGAGGGAAUAUGCAUUUCAUAUUAGGAACAGAUUUCUUAAGUGAUUGUUAUGAAAAGUGGAAACCAGUUUAGAACCAUUUUUUUACCCUAAAACAUCCAUUGUAGUUUGUUGAAAGAGCAAUGACUUUUAGAAGUGCUUGGUACUCAACACAAAAUGUGCAGAUUCAUGAUAUAUUGAAAAUUAUACAGUUCUUUUUAUUCUAUGUUUUAGUGACUUUGUUUACACUAGUUGUGGCAUUUUGUAUACUACAAUGUAAAUUCUACUAUAACACUAAUGUUACUAUGGGAAUUAAUUUUGCAACUUCUUAAAUGUUUUUGUCACUGCAACCAUAUUGGUGAGAUUUUGGGGGUAUAAAAAAUGCCUCUGCCUUUAAGGGUUAAAUUCACCGGAAAUAAUUAAUUCAUGCAUUAACAAAGGAAACAAUGCAAAAAUUUCAUGUGGGAUGUUUUUAAUACCAUUAUGCUAAGCAGUACUUGUUGGCUCUUUUCAAAAUCUGAUUCAUGCUAAGCAGAUCCUUUUUUCUACUUAAACAAAGAUACUGCAAUGUAUAAUAUAGAAAUUUUGUAUGUACUGUUGACCUAUCACCUGAUCGCUGACAGAAUGUUUGAAAAUAUUUUAACUUUGUGACUUUAGGGUCAAUUAUGAAAUAAUUGUGAUCAAAAUUCAACUGCUUCUGGGAAGUUUGUGGUGAUUAUCACUUUAUUUAACAUUUGUUCUCAAGAAAUGGUCAUUUUGAAAAGUGAAUUGGCAGGUGGAAGCUUUUAGCCCAAAAGAAUUCUGGGUUUCAGCACAAUAAACUGUAUUUCAUCAGGGAGGGCUAACUUUGCUUUUUUUCACACUUUAUUUAAAUGUGGAUAUUUUUUCAUGAUACAGAAUAAAAUGUGCAUUUUAUGGAAUUUAUUUGAA